rnacentral:lncRNA from 1 species
UUUCUCGACAGUGGCCAUUGCCAUGUCACCCACACCAGCAGCAGGAAGUCUAUGCAGUUGUCCCUUUAUCCCCUUCACAGAGAUGUUAUAAAGAUUUUUUGUUUCUGUGUUCAAAGACUGUUAUCUAGAAUAAACACAUCACCAGCAACUAGAUAAAAAGCCAGGCUGCCUCCCUCCACUGAGAUUCCUUUGUUUUAGAGAUAGUGGUUGAACAUGAAAAUAUUUGGGCCACCUGUUUUUUCUCCUUCCAUGCUUUAAAUUUUUGCUCUUCUGCUUUAAAUUCACCAAUAAAGAGGGAGCCUGCAAAAACCUAGGUCCCUACCCUCAACCCCAAUAAAAGCAGGACCCCAGGCUUAUACUCACUUUCUCUCUCCCUCCCCAUGGCCUCACCAGGUGUGCUGUGUGAUUUCCAGAUACUGUAAGUAACAAACUUUUAUUUUUUUCACAGCUUCCCGAUGGUUAUUGCUGAAGGGUGUCUUGCAGUCAUAUCACAAUAACAACCAUGCGGUCCAGUCCAAUCACAGCCUUAUUUAAAAGGCUGAGACCAGCACAAAACACCACUCCAUAUCCACAGGGCUCCUUUCCUCAUUUCGCUAUGGUCUCUGCCCAAAUAUCACCUCCUCUUACCCUGCUUUAUUUUUCUUCAGAGCAACAUCCACAACUGUUUGUUUGUUUUCUCUCCUCUCUCCUCCCCCUAUUUGAAUGUCAGUUCCACGAGAGCAGGGACUUUGGUUCACUGUUGUAGCCUCAACACCUAGAACAGCCCACCGCCUAGUAGUCACUCAGUUAAUCUUGAAUUGAUUUGUUGAAUGAAUUCCCUCUUGCCACCCUCCUGGUCUGAGGCACCAGCUUCCCAGCCCUGGACUCCUGAAGGAGUUUCCUAACUGUUUCAUUUGGCUCACCCCCUGCACAUACCAGCCAGGGGGAUCUUUCACAACUACCAAGUGAAUCCCAUCACUCCCCAGCUUUAAAGACUAGAGUGAGCAAAUAAUUUUGGUAAUUCCUUAAAUUGUGGUUUUGUGAAAAGUCACUUUCACUUGUAUGAGUCAUAGUGGAGGGCAGUUUGAUAUCUCUUAAAGUUAAUAACGUAUGCAGCUUUUGACCCAACAAUUCCACAUCUAGAAAUUUAUCCUUUAGAUAUGUUCCCUUUUUUAAUUUUAUUUUUAUUUUUUUGCUUUUUAGGGCCACACCCAUGGCAUAUGGAUGUUCCCAGGCUAGGGGUCGAAUCAGAACUACAGCUGCUGGCCCACACCUCAGCCACAGCAUCGUGGGAUCCUUAACCCACUGAGUGAGGCCAGGGAUCGAACCCACGACCUCAUGGUUCCUAGUCGGUGAGUGCCAUUUUUUAAUUCCAUUGUGUGUAUAUACCAUAUCUGUUUCAUCCAUUCAUCUCUUGAUGGACCCUUGGGUUGCUUCCACCUUUUGGCUACUGUGGAAUUUGUUUUUAGCCUUAGCAUGCAGUGGCUUGAGGUGGGAUCUCAGUUCUCAGACCAGGGAUUGAACCCUGGCUGCAGUGGUGAAAGCGCUGCAUCCUAACCACGACACCCCCAAGGAACUCCCCCGCCAUACUGUCUUUACAGCAGCUGCACCAUUGUGAAUUCCCACUCCUCCACAUAGAUUUUUACAUACAAAGACAGCUAGAUAUUUCAGGACACAACGGCUCUGACUGUAACAGUCAAAGAGUAGAAGCCACGUAAAGUCAACAAAGUUACUUAAGUUAACAGAAUCACAUAGCUCUACAUACACUGAUAAGGAACCAUCACCAGCACAUCCUGUGAAAUUAAGGAAGCAAAGCUCAAGGGAAUUAGGGGGUAACCUUACUCCUGGGGCCUGGCACCAGAGCGUCCUGCUGCAAGAUUGGUCCAUCCCUCUCCACAGGAGCCUGGGCUCCCUGGGGGCUGAAUGCCCCUAGCGGCUGGACUCAGGGCUGACCAUCUGUUCUGGGAUGUGAUGGAGAGUUCCUGCCAUUCUCUUUGGUCACCUGUGAUAGAAAGUCUUUCACAGCAGCCAUGCAUACUGUGGGCUCCAGAUCAAAGCUAAAGGUAAAAAGCCAAUGGCUAUAAUCGCUUGUGUGGCAAACCAACGUGCCUUUCAUCUAGAGGCUGCUGAGAACAAGGGACAUCAAUUAAAGAUAUUCAGGAGAAUCCGAUGGAGGUUGGUCUUGGCAUUCACCAGGAACCAUAGCAGAGGAUUUAGCAAAUCAGCCAGACCUAACCUGGCCUUGGGCAUGUUCACGGAAGCUAGGAUGCAGCAUGUGAAUUUCGGAGAAGACAUGAUUCUCCAAGUUCAUUGGCUUAGGACACAUGACCCCUCUUUGGAUCCUGUGGGUGGGGUGGGGUAGGUCUUAACACUGUAAAUAUGCAGAGAUGGGAAUAACACGACUUGGGUUACUGGAAUAACUGUAGGGGGUGAAGACCCCAGAUCUGUGAGCAGCCGCUGUAAAAGCAUUUGCUCAGAAACACUGCCAGGACUGAAGAAGCCUUGAGGAGCCAGUAUUGUCUGUGAAAGCUGCUCAUCAUUACUUCAUAAGGACAAAUCAGAAAGUAACUGAAGAACUGCCUUGAAUAAAUCUUUAGUCCGCUGUCUUAAAAAUAUUGUGCAGCAUAUUUGAAGAGGAUAGACAGAAAUGUGACUAGUAUAACCACGAAGCUUGUUAACUAGUGGGAUUUAAAGACUAGUGUGAGAAGCUGCUCUUCCCCAGAAUCGUAUUUUACUAAGAUAACCUGUACGUGACCGUAUUAGGAUUACAAGCUAAGUUGUUUCUGAGACCCCCCUGCCCAAAGGCAGUACAGAUCAACAUGCUGUUACCAGUUUCUUUUUCUUUUCUUUUUUUUUUUUUUUUUGGUCUUUUUGCCAUUUCUUGGGCCACUCCUGUGGCACAUGGAGAAGUAGCAAAAAGACAAAAAAAAAAAAAAAAAAAAAAAGAGAGAGAAAAUAAAAAUAAAAGAAGUAGAUGAAAAAUAUGAUGAGGAUAUUACAUGAGUAUCUUCUCACCAAAUACUGAUAACUCACAAAGGGAAACUAAUAUAACUCUCUGAUAGAAAAACCACCUUAACCGAAUGAUUUCCAGCAAUAAGGCAUCAGGUACAACCUCCCGUACCCCUUGAGAUGAUGCACGGAGAAAGGGACUGUUCUUCUCUGAUUUUCUUGCCCCAAAUAUAUAUUCUCAGCCUCAUUAUGAGAAAAUACCCGACAAAGUGAAACUGAGAGGUCACAGAUUGGAGGAGGCUAAGGAGACCUAAGAAUUAAAUGGAAUCUGGAUUCAUAGAUUGGAUCCCAGACCAGAGAAAGGACGUUGGUGGGGGACCCAGAAAGUCAGAAUAAAGUUUGUAGAUGAGUUAACAGUAUUGAAUCCAUGCCAAUUUCCUGAUUUCUUCCUGUUGCGCUCUGGUUAUAUGUCGACAUUUGGGGAACUGGAUGACAAGUAUUUAGGGACCUGACAACCCUUGCAAAUUUUCUGUGCGUCAAAGAUUUUUACAAAAUGCCAAGUUCAAAAAAUCAAAGAAGCUUAGUGGCUUAGGACAAUAGUUAUUUUAAACUAUUUCAAGAUUUUGUAAGUCAGGAAUUUGGGCAAAACUCAGCAAGAUAAUCCUUCUGUUCCAUGCGGCAGUGACUGGGGUCCGUUGGUGGUAUGCGGCUUGUAUCCAGGCUGGUUCUGAGCAUCCGAGAUGGUUCUAUUCAUGCCCUUGGCACUUGGACAGGGCUUGCUGGAAGGGUGGCUUCAGCUGGGGACCUUUCCUGUCUAUGUAAUCCCUGGGCUUCUCCAUGUGGCCUUUCCUGUAGGGUAGUCAGUCUUCUUACUGAGUGAGUCAGGGAUCUAAGAGCUAGAAUUCCAAGAUACAGAAGUAGGAGCUGUCCGUCCAUGUCUGAGUCAGUUUGGGGCUUAAACAACUGAAAUUUAUUUCUCACCGUUCUUGUAACAGAGAAGCACAAACCUGACUCCAUACUGGGUCUAUUCCUUUAGCUCUAAGCCUUGUGCUCUGCUGCCUGUGCUUAGUUAUGCUGACUCUGCACCUGUACAAAGAAUGUUGCCUAUGGCCUGAGAUACACAUGACAGUCCACUCUCAAGGCUCUGACCUUUAAAGAUAUAACCUGUCCCAUUCAUAUAGAGAUAAAAAGUUGCAGAGCAGAGAAUGACAAAAGUUUUGUUGAGGUUUAUAGGAACAUUAUGACCAGACUUUGGACAGCCUCAAGCACAAAGGAUUCCUGCACCAAGAAGACUGCAACCACCAGCCACACGCCCUCCCCCUUUUCAUACAAAAGAAGCCCGAAUUCAAACUCGGGUACAAUGGUUCUUUAGGACACUAGUCUACCAUCUUCUCAGUUUGCUGUUUUCUGGAUAACGUUGCUAUUCUUGACCUCCAAAACUCAUCUCUUGAUUUAUCGGCCUGUCAUGGGGCACGAAGUACAAGCCUGGACUCAGCAGCCCUCUGAAGGCGGGAGGUGGUUGAUCAGGGUACAAGCACUGUCAGGUCUGGGAGCACCACCUUCUGGGGUGCAGACUCCUGACUUCUGGAUGUAUCCAGACCUGGCAGAGAGCAGAAGGAGGAGGCGAGCUCUCUCAUGAGUCUUAUGAGGGCAUUCAUUUCAUCUAAUGCUAAUCACCUCCUCUAGUCUUAGUCACGGUCCAAAGGCCUCAUCUCCUAAUACCCUCACAUGGACGUGUGAAAUUUCAACAUAUGACUUUUGAGACAUAUAAACAUUUAGUCCGUGACUGUCUCUUGGGGUCUAGAGCUAGAAACUGGUAGCGUGGCACUUCGACCAUGUAAUAUCGGUCAGGGCAGUCACGGAGCCCGUCUACACUCAAAGCAAAGGGACAGAGACCUCAUUUCUCGGUGGUCAAAGGAUUUGUUCCCUUUUUUAGCCCAUCACACAUGGGCAAGAGAUAAGAGUAAGCAUAACCCUUGGUUCCUGGCCUGCUCUCAUUGUUGACCC